GUGGCUCGGGCCGCGUCGCCUAACGGUCCGGCCCGCGGCCCCAUCCCCGGUCCCUUCUGGCGCUCACCGAUGACCUUCUUGUCCCCGCCGGCGGGCGCCGCCGAUGUGAGGCCACCCGGGCCGCCACUACCCGCGCCGCUGCCCGUGGAGCCGGGCUUGGUGUCGGCGGCGCUGAGGGCGGCGGCGGGGGCGGCGGGCGGCUGCUGGGUCUCGGCCUCGCUGCUCAUGGUUGCGGUGAUGGUGACUGGGGCCGGCGGCGACGGCUGCGGCUCCUCCCGGGUGUGAUGGUGACUAGGCCGGCGGCGGCGGUGGGGCUCUCAGGGCUCUCUGGGGUCCGCUCUCCGCUCCCGCUACCGAUCGAACUAGCGAGAAUGGCGGGACGGGCGGGAUAAGCCCCGCGAUAGACCCGCCCUCGUCCUCCCCCAUUGGUCCGCAUCGUUGUCCAUCUCACCACCUGACCGGGUCUCUAGCGCCUAUUGGCUCACGCUCCGCGGCUCCUGCGCUCUCAUUGGUAUCUUUAGCGACUAAUUCGCCCGACCCACAGCUUCUCAGGCCUCCGCCGCCAUAGAGACCGGAACUAGAAUGAGAGCCUCGGCCGUGAGCACCAUAGAGUACCGGGAGGACGCGCAGAGGGAACGUUCCCAGAUGGGGCUGCGCUCGUCGCGCACGUGGGCCGCGAUCGCCGGGCCUACUCCGGCCUCCUAGAAGGGGCUCCUUCCCACGGCUGGGUGAACGCCGGGGCCUCCUUAAUGGGUCAGGCUUUUGGUGAUCCAGUCACCUUGGAGGGACCACGCAGGCGCUGGAGCUGCCACGACUCAGCGUGUUCAGGGCGGGGGUGAUCGUUUCCCCCGGCGUCCGAGGAAAUGUAUUUCAUACUGGCCACAAAUCAGAUUUAAUUUCGCCUCACAUUUAUUGGAUGUUAGGGUUUUUGACUUUAUAAACUAAGCACUGUAGACAAGGAUUGCUAUCCUUGUUUUUAUACACUGUAAAACACACGCUGCCUUCUUUCUG
rnacentral:lncRNA from 1 species